GUGUGAUGAUGGAUUAUGGUGGGUCAUUCCCUGUGGGCCUCUCACAGUGUACCCAUGCCAGAGUAAAUUGUAGUCUCAAACUAUUACCCAGCCCCCUUCCCUGUGGGCUGUGAGACUGAAGGGGGUUGUACAGUG
ensembl:snoRNA small nucleolar RNA SNORA42/SNORA80 family